UGCAAAUACCCCAUAAGCAUUCCGCCUGGGGAGUUCGGUCGCAAGGCUGAAAAUUAAAGGAAUUGACGGGGGCCCGCCCCAGCCGUGGAGUAUGUGGUUUAAUUUGAAGGAACGGGAAGAACCUUUCCAAAUUUUGACAUCUUUUGAAUCCCUUAGAGAUACCCGGCGGCCUUUGGGACCGAGGAGACCGGUGGUGCAAGGUUGUCGUCAACUUGUUUUGUGAGAUGUUGGGUUAAGUCCCGCAACGAGCGCAACCCUUGAUUUUAGUUGCCAGGCCAUUUAAGGUGGGCACUCUAAGGUGACUGCCGGUGACAAACCGGAGGAAGGUGGGGAUGACGUCAAAUCAUCAUGCCCCUUAUGACUUGGGCUACACACGUAGUUAGGCCAUGCAUGGGAAAACCCCUU
rnacentral:rRNA from 1 species